rnacentral:lncRNA from 10 species
GCACCAGGAGGCAGAGGCAGAGACUGGGGCCAUGCAGCCACCAGUCAAGGAACAAGUGGGGGCAACAGACCCCGGAAGAGGCAGGAAGGCUCCUUCUCUUCAGCCUUGAAGGUGGCCAGGAGACUCAGAGGAAGCCGGCCGCUCGCCCCGUCCACCACAGGCCUGACAUGACCAGACUAAUCCCAGACUCUGCCUGCAACUGGGUCAGAAAUGAGAAUAGACCCAAUUCAGAUAAGGAGACCUAAAGAGAGAUGUGUGGAGGCUGCUGGGAGAACCAUCUGAUUGUGACACAGAGCCAUGUUCACCCAGGAGGCAUGACUGAGGGAGAAAGUGUGUGGCCUGGAGGGGCGCUGGCAGCCCUGCUGUGACCAUGAGGGCUUCCAGGCCUGGGAUGAAAUGACUGCUCCAUGUCACAGAGCCAGGGGCAGAACACGCCUGCAGCAUUGAUGCUGCCUUUUAACUUCUCCACCCGCCACCUGCGCAGCCUCCCUCGCCUCUGCCCUAGGCAAGUCCAGGCGCCUUGUUCUGGCCUGUUGCAGCAGCACUUGUGUCGCUGCAGCUGAAAGCUUCCCGGCAAUGUAGACAUGUCACCCUGAUAAACAGCCUCAGCCAGCAGGACGCUUAGGGACCUUUUUUAAAAGAUAAAACCUACAACUUCAGAUGCAAAAGAAGCCUGGGAGUUGAAGCGAACACACAUGGGGCAGAGAGGCUGAGAACGGCCUGGGGCCUUAGAAGGAAACAUGGACGGAAUCCCAAAAGAGGCUGGAGAGGAGGUGAUGGAGGGUCUGAGUAUUGAGAGGAAGGUGAGCUGUGGCUCCAACCUCAGAUCUAUCAGGAAACCAAGGGUGUUGGAAGAUGGUAAAAAUACACUACAAUUGCAUCUUGUGUUAGGAAAUGAAAGUGAUCUUAUAUUUGCUUUUAAUAAUAAAAAUAUGAAUUAAUAUUUCUAAAUGUAAAGUAAUCAUGCAAAUAAUUGAAGGCAGAAUGAAUAUACACUUUAUUUCUUCCUAGAAGAAAUAAAGUAAACUAAAUAUAGUUCAGGUAGCAAAGACAGAAAACAUCAAAGGCAUUUUCUCAAAGGCAAAAAUAAGUGACAGAAGGCCAAGCAGAUCAUUUUUAUUAAAAGAAAUAGGACACAAAAUCAUCGACGCCAGAAUCCUGACUGCAUUAGAAAUGCAGGUGCACAGAAUAAAGACUAAAAUGAAAUUCUGCAUAUUAAAAUGAUGGGCUAGUCAGAUCACACAGGUGAUUCAUUGUAUUCUUUAAAUUUUUAUUAAUAGUUCACGAGUGCAUUUAUAACCAGAAACUUACCGUGCACUUAACUAAAUCUGAAAUACGAAUGUGCAGUUAUGAAAACGAUAGGCAGAUCUUUGGGGUUUUAUUUUUGUCAUGCAUUUUGCAUUAAUAAUUUCACGAUUGACGGAAUUUCCCAGUGCCGGUGCCCUAGGCUGGUGGGCUGGUGUCCCUGGGCAGUGGUGUGAGAUGCUGCAGAGCGUUGUCUUGCCACCAUCUCAACCUCCUGCCCCACCCUGCAGGGCCCAACAAGCACCUGCUGCAUUGAGGAGAAUCACUGCCCUCCACGUCUUCUUGGAAGAGUGAGUCCCUGGCAGAGAAAGUUCCAUGUGGCCUGGAGAAGGCCUCUGGGAGUGGGGCUUGAAGCAGGUUGGAGGGACGCAGGACCGGAGACCACCUCUGCUGCUGGGAGGGAUGGGCAGGGCCGAUGUCAAGGAUGGCAGUGAUCCUGCUGAGACACUCGCUGUCUCCAAGGGUGUGGCAGCAAGGAGUGGAGACCCGAUGGACCAGAGCCGUGCCCUGGAAGCAAAGAGUGGUGAGGAGAGCGCAGGAUAGGAAGGUGGGAACAUUCUGGCAUUUCCGAACGAGGACAUUGGCCAAUGGCCUGGAUGCGGCUGUCCUGAAGAACAUGGAGUUCCAGAAGGAGCACAGGGUUCAGGCCAUCCGUCCCCAACCCUAAGUGAGAGGAUUCACGUUCCCAGGAAGCUGGCUCUUGGGGGCCUUGGCUCUGGGACAAUCCUGUCGCUACCACCGGAGGCUGGUCUUUGGGGGAGAACACAGAUUUCAUUUCUCGUGAAGGGAAGCACCUGAAGCAAGCCUGUUUAUGGAUGCAAACAUCUGUUAAAGCCACUCCGCUUUUUGACGAGGAGUUAAGGUGUGUCAAUGCUCGAGUCCUGAGACCCGGGGAUAAGGUGGAGAGGAUGAAGCCCUGGGGAGGGGCCGGUGUCUCUACGGGAAACACCUGUGGGUACACUGCCCCGGAUGGCAGCUGUCCUGUAUCCGGGAAGGACAACCUGGCAUUGCAAGUGUGUAGAGAUCGCCGUGGUGCAAGCUGCUCAUGGUGCACUCAGACGGCUCGUCCUGAGACGGCUGAGGCUGCGGUGUGAAUGCUGGGGACAGGGUGGGGGUGCCCUGCCCUGCAAGGCUUUCUCACCCUCACCUUCGCAGUAGCCCUGGCAGGCCACAGACUCCUGUCUCAAAGUGAGACUCCUCUUUAUUUUAUUUAUUUAUUUAUUUUUUCAGUUUUUGUUUGUUAGUUUUUUAUUGAUACAUAGUUGUACAUAUUUUUAGGGUACAUGUGACAUUUGAACUAUGGUUCUGGAAUGCUUAAACUCAUUUACCCUGUCAACUAACAUUUACUGAACACCUCUGUAU